GACGAACGCUGGCGGCGUGCUUAACACAUGCAAGUCGAACGAUGAAGCACCAGCUUGCUGGUGUGGAUUAGUGGCGAACGGGUGAGUAACACGUGAGUAACCUGCCCCUCACUCUGGGAUAAGCCUGGGAAACUGGGUCUAAUACUGGAUACGACCGAUCUCCGCAUGGAAUGUUGGUGGAAAGUUUUUGUGGUGGGGAUGGACUCGCGGCCUAUCAGCUUGUUGGUGGGGUAAUGGCCUACCAAGGCGACGACGGGUAGCCGGCCUGAGAGGGCGACCGGCCACACUGGGACUGAGACACGGCCCAGACUCCUACGGGAGGCAGCAGUGGGGAAUAUUGCACAAUGGGCGAAAGCCUGAUGCAGCGACGCCGCGUGAGGGAUGACGGCCUUCGGGUUGUAAACCUCUUUCACCAGGGACGAAGCUAACGUGACGGUACCUGGAGAAGAAGCACCGGCUAACUACGUG
rnacentral:rRNA from 1 species